UCAAACGAACUAUAAUAUAAAAUCGCAUCUACACAUCUAUUGAUUCUACGUCUCGAAUUCUCUUCCUAAUUCCGAACCCUGAAUUUGCGCAGAAUUUAAUGCUGAUCGAUUUGUGGCAUUACAAACAGCUAAUUUAUAUGGACCAAUAAACUAUUACUAAAUGGCGUAAUCCAAUUUGGCGUACAUCUAGAAUGCAACGCAGGGUAAACACCACGAAGCUGACGAGUUCAAAGAUCAUUCGGGGAUCAUUCUUGGGCUGGGGUAUUCGCUGGAAGCCAGGUGCCGCCAUACGGACAACCAUCAACGGAUUUUACGGACACGCAUUAAUGGCCAUUGAUUGACGACGACUCGAGCGUAAAUAAACAGCUUCCAGUGAAAAAAUUAUGAAGAGUUUUUGGCGUAAACAAAUUUGGAACUAAAAUCAUAUCGGAACGGAAUCGAAUCGAAUCGAAACGAGGCGAAUCACAUUGGCGCCAGCUGGCGAAGUACACUCAACAAAUUUU
ensembl:ncRNA lncRNA:CR43475 long non-coding RNA:CR43475